CAAGCUUUCUUCGAUCUGGCUAAUACAGCUCUUCCUUCUCCAUUUUUCACUCUUGCUGAACUUAAAGCAAGUUUUGUUGCCGUUGGUCUAAACCUCUCCUCAGAUCUAGUCGCUCUUUCUGGUAAAAAUUUCAUGCUGAUAGUUAGAUAUAUUCAUUUAACAUCUAAAUAUCUGGUAAAUACAAAGUUAAUUCACAUUUUAAUCUGAUUUUAUAAUUAUAAUUAGUUUAUUAGGGUUAUCUAUUAUUUAAUAUUCCUUCUGUUUCUAAAAUAAAUAAAUGAAUAAAUGGUUUUCCUGCAAAUUUCCAACAAAUUUUUAUCAGGAUAAAAUAAUUUCGACGAGACGCAUUAGUUAUGAAUUGCUUAUUUUUUUGUAGUGUAUGCAGUUUAUAUUAAUUUAAUUUAACAAUAAACGGUAAGCUUAAAAAAAUUAAUUAUAUUGAUUGAACUAAUAUGGGAAAAUAGUAAUUAAUUUUAUAAUCAAAAUUUUAUUAUAUUUUAGAAAUAUGUGCAAAACAUCAAAAACAUUCUUUUGUUUUAAAACAAAGGGAACAUAUAUUUAACAAAGAAGAAUUUGUAAAACGACAAAACAUGACUCAUGAUCAUCUUUGAUUAAAACAUAAAAAGGAAGAUGUAACUCUACUUUUAUUUUUGUCAAAUAUUAGGUGGUCACACAUUUGGAAGAGCACAAUGUCAAUUUGUGACACCUCGUCUUUACAACUUCAACGGUACCAAUAGCCCAGACCCGAGUAUUAACCCAACUUACCUCGCCCAACUACGUGGACUGUGCCCUCAAAACGGAAACGGCACCGUUCUUGUCAACUUCGACCCCGUGACUCCCGAUGGUUUCGAUAAUAAAUACUACACUAAUCUUCGUAACGGGAGAGGUCUGAUUCAGAGUGAUCAAGAACUGUUUUCGACUCCUCAAGCCGACACGAUUCCACUAGUGGAGCAAUACAGCAGCAACCAGACCGCGUUCUUUGAUGCAUUCGCAAAAGCAAUGAUUCGGAUGGGAGAUCUUAAACCUUUGACUGGGAAUCAAGGUGAGAUAAGACUGAAUUGUAGUGUUGUGAACUCAAGGAUCAUGAGUGUGGAGAAUGAAGAUGAUGGUGUUGUGAGUUCGAUUUGAUCAUGUCGGAGACAUAUAUAUGUAAGAAAGCAUAAAAUGCAUGGGGAAUAAUUUAUGUAUUUCGACUAAAAUAAAUAUUCUCACGAGUUAUGAGAUAAUUAUGGGUCUUAAUUCUAGAUGACUUUGGGAACAAACAGUGCCGUGACUAAAAAGUUAAGAGGAAUUAUGCAAUUUCUAAAAAUUUGCCCUUUAAAUUGAAAUGAAAAAUUCAAUAAAGAUGUAACCUAAAACCAUUUUAAAAUUAUAUUUCUUAGUACUAUGAACUCUUUAUAAAUUUACACUUUUUUAAUUAUCGCUUUGUGUUAUUAAUCAUAUCCGAGAAAAAAUAUCUGAUGGUCGCUCAAUAUUGAAAUACGUUUCCUUAUGAAAUAAGAGCAUUGCCUGGCUAGUUUGGCGACGAUGAAUCAAACAUCCGCAAGAGAAGAACGGAAUCGUAUUGUCUACUCGGAUUUAUAUUUAUGGAAAAAUGUAAUUCGGAUUUUCAAAGUUAAUUAACAUCUUGGAAAAUAAGGUUUUAACAAAAGCUUGUUUGUCAUGAAACUACAAACCUAAUUCUGAUUAAGAAAAAACACCAAAAAGCUAAUGAUAGAAGUCUCAAACAUAAUCAAACUAAAACAAAGAAAUCACAAAACAAGAGUUUUACUUUUGUAAACAAACAAAAGCACAAACGAAAAAAAAAAAAUUACUCAAACGCCCAAUUUAAAAUAAUUGUAAGCAUGUUGACCCGAAACCAAGAAGAUGUAAGCAGAUUUGGUUGGAUGUUGGUAACUUGGUACAUUAUCAACUUCCCCUUUUCCUUUCAUAUCUUUCGUAGUUCCUAGUGACAAAAAAAAAUCUUUCGUAGUUCCAAUGUAUUAUAUUCGUUCUUUUUUCAUGAAACGUGAUAUUUAGAUGUCACACAUAUACAUAUCCAAAAUGUCUACUCUUUAUAAUUCAUUAUGUUUAUAAAAAUUUGCAAUAACAACUAAACAUUCAGAACUACAUAGAGAUGAUUAUGAAAACAUCUACUAUAAUUGCAUAGAACUAAUAAAAUAUGCAAUCUUCAUAUUAAGAUAAUGUAUCAGUCAAAAUAAUAUAGCAUACGAGUUCGUAUUAUUGUUAUUGUUCAUCAAAUUCAAAUCUCACACAAUACAUGUUUCUAAAAAAAUAUGCAGUAGCAUGUUAGUUUGGUACACGCUAGUGUCGUUAUAUAAAUAUUUUCGUACAAUCAGACUUAAACCCAAUAGCAAAAAACACGAUAUGUUUAGUUGUUUGUCGUCCAAUAACUAGAUGGACCUAUCCUAGUUAAGAGGUCCGAAGAUGAAAAUAGUAUAUGCUAAUUAGGAAGUUAUCACACAGUAUAUUUUGAUAUAAAAAAAAACAGUAUUAUAUGAUUAGCAAACCUUAAAUGGACAGUUUCUUAGGGAGUCAGAUAUCAAGAAAAAGCACGUUACUAAUAAAAAUGUUUAACACGUGAUGAUAGACAACUACAACGAUUUCUUAUACAGUUAUAAACAUAAUUUCAAAUUUGAAAAAAAAAAUAUAAUUUCAAAUAUAAUUUCAGUAUCAUACAAUAUAAUUUUCGUACUAUGUACAGUUGACAUUUUUGGCGUUUAUUAAUCAUUUAUCAUACCCAAUAAUGUGAUUUCAGUUCUCAUAAGGAAUCAUUUAUGCCUUGAAAUAGAUAUACAACUAAAAAUAUAUGUGGAAUUGAGAACUAUCUUUUCAUAGAAUAAUGCGUUUAUUUGUAGUAAGUAAAAAGUCCACAUCUACAAUAUAAAUGUGCAUAUGGACUUAAUAGAACCAGUGAAUUUUAUUCUUAUAACUAAUUAUUAUUUCUCCUUCAACCACGUUAGUAAAUAGAUUAUAGAUACCUAGCUAAUAGUCUAAUACUGUAGAAGAAAACACUCAAGCUUCUAUAUAUAAUGCUCCUCUAGGCUUAAGCUAAUUCCCCAUCAUCCACACUCACCACUCUUUUUUUUUCUUUGAUCAGCCACACUCUCAAAACCAGCUUUUGUUUCACUCCUGGAAAAUGGUGGUUUCUCCUUCAUUUUCUUGCAGUGUUGUGGGAGCCCUAAUCCUGGGUUGCCUUCUGCUUCAAGCAUCAAACUCUAAUGCUCAGUUAAGGCCUGAUUUUUAUUCCAGAACAUGCCCGGGUGUUUUUGACAUCAUUGGGAAUAUCAUCGUCCGUGAAAUGGGCUCUGAUCCUCGUAUUACCGCUAGCCUCCUUCGCCUUCACUUCCAUGACUGUUUCGUUAAUGUAAGAACUUACUCAACUUAUCUCUUCACAUACCCAAAGAAAAAUCCACUACGUGUUCAUGGAUAAAAGUACGUUUACAGAAAGAACAAAGACUAAAAGAAUUUGUUAGAUUAAAUAAUAUACACAAUCGCAUGCCAGAUCUGAGAUUAUAAACAUUUUUAGAUUAAUCUUAAAAUUGACAAUUUACGGAUUAUGCGACAUAUGUAUAUUGUCUUUUAAAAAUUUGGGAUACGAUGAAUGUUUUAUCAGGCUUUUCCCAAAAUCCUGUUGACAAUAUGGUCAUGUAAUGUAAUAUGGUUUUGUAGGGCUGUGAUGCCUCGAUACUGCUGGACAAUUCCACAUCGUUCAGGACUGAGAAAGAUGCUCUGCCAAACGCAAAUUCGGCUAGAGGAUUUAACGUCAUAGAUAGAAUGAAAACCCAGAUUGAGAGAGCUUGCCCAAGAACAGUGUCUUGUGCAGAUAUCCUCACUAUCGCUUCUCAAGUAUCAGUCCUUUUGGUAUAUUACAUACUUACAUCAUGGCUUAUAAUAUGUAUGAAUUAAUCGAGAGUGGUAUGAAUGUUGACGUUAGCGUUUUAUGUUAUGUAGUCAGGAGGCCCAAGUUGGUCGGUUCCGUUGGGGAGGAGAGACGGCUUACAAGCUUUCUUCGUUGGGGCUAAUACACUUCCUUCUCCAUUUUUCACUCUUGAUGAACUUAAAGCAAGUUUUGCUCUCGUUGGUCUAAACCGCACCUCAGAUCUAGUCGCUCUUUCUGGUGAAAUUUCAUGUUUAUUACAAUAUAUGAUCAUCCUUUUAUCUAGAUACACUUUAUCUUUGUAUGUUGAUAGUUAGCUGGAUUCACUUAUCAACUUAAGUAUCUAGCAAAAUGCAA
rnacentral:lncRNA from 1 species